UCUAUAUGAAAUAAAAUUAUUGUCAAAAUAAUAAGUUAUCAUUAUGAUUUUUAGUUUUAAAAGGUAACUAAAUAUAUUAGUGAGGAAAUUAUUUUAACAUUAAUUAACUUUAAGAUCUCCCAUCUGAAACAAAUUUGGUAAAUAAAGUUUAAUCAUUGAUAUGUUUUGUAAUAUAUACUACGCUUUUUAAUAUUAGUUGUUAUUUUCUCAUGCUAUUUUCCUUAUAUUUUUAGUAUAUAGUUAUCUAAAAAUAAAAUCGUAGUAGAAUAAUAAGUUAGUAUAAUGACUUUUAGUUUUAAAAAUAAAUAAUAUUAUGGUCACUAAAGAAUGGUUACAAAAAAGAGAUACAAAAUGAUGUGAUGGUAAGCGAUGAGUAUGGGCUAUAAUGUUAUGUCUAUAUUGAUUUAUCACUUAGCAAUUUAAUGAUAAAAUGGUACAUGUGAAUAUAUUAUCUUUUUAUUUAACUUAAAUUUAUAAAAUUUUAUUAUUAUAUUGAUUUUUUGUUUAGGCAUAAUCUUUUUUUAUAUUGAAUAUAUAUAUAUAUAUAUAUAGUUAAGGAAACUAUGUAUCAAGUGGGUGACUGUGUUCAUUAGAAAUUUAAUUAUUUAAAUAAAUAAAAAUAAGACCCUCUUCGAACCGAAGGAGUAUUAGAGAUACUUCAGUAUAUAUUAUGUAGUUUCCUCCUUUAUUUUCUCCUUCUUUCGUGCACAUUCAAAGAAAUUGUUGGAGUUAUCAUUUCUAUCUAGUACCAUAUUAAGACCUAUUUAAGAUAAAUAAAUAAAAUAAAUUUAAGGAGAGUGUUUUAGUACUAGUUAAAUUCUAGUCAUCCAAUGAUCAAAAAUCCAAGUUUUGCUUUAUUAUAUAUGUAUGUAUAUAGAUAUAUAGGUUUAUGUUGUUUAUGUUGUAAAAACUAAUUCAAAUUACUUAUGUUUCAAUAUUUUAGUUUGUGGAUAAUUAUGAUAUAAUAGUAGAAUAAUUUGUUACUAUAUGAUAUAUCAUUGUUAAAUAUAUAUUAACAAUGAUCCGUAGGUGUUUUAAUUUAGGCUCGUGAAAAUCAAUAUUAGUAAAUGACUUCUAUAAAAAAUAAAAUUGUUAUAAAAUAAUAAGUUACUCUAAAGUUUUUCAGGAUCAUAAAUAAUAUUUUGUUUAUAGUUAAAUUCUAUGUUUAUAAAGUGUUUUAAUAUUAGCUAAUAAAAUAAAAUCAGGAGGCUUUAAAAGGUAUUUUAGUAGCCAGUUAAAUUCUAAUUCAAUAUCAAAGAUCAAUGACCAAAAAACUUAAUUUUACCUUAUUAUAUAUGUAUAUAGAUUUAAUGAGAAACUACUUAAGAACUUCAAACCUUAAUUAGAGAAUGUUGUCUUGCUAGUUGCUACAAAUAUAAAUAUUUCAUAUGUGAAUGCUUGUCAAUUUAUUUACUUUUCUUCCUCUUUCUGGAAAGCAUGACAGUAUAAAGCAUAAAAUAAUAAUAAUAAUCAUCCCCCAUAGAAAAUUGGUUGUUCAAAUAGAUAAUUUUAUAGUUCAAGGGUCUUCAAUUACUGAUAUAAGAAUAAAUAUUCCAAAAUAGAGCAAUUGGUAUAUAAUUUAUAGUUUAAUUGAGGCGCGAAAUGUGUUCGAAGAGUUGUAAAUCUGACUUUAUAUGCUGAUUUUCAAAAGUAUUUAUUUAAUUAACAUUGUUAACGGUAAUAUUUCUCUGGUCCAUGGGUUGAAUGGAGGUCGAUCCGACCUACAAAAGGGAGAAAUCACAAAUAUCUUUAAUGGUCGGAGCCACCGGGAUACCUCUGGUGUAAGAGUAAGUAACAUAAUAAGAAGGAAGAUGAUUGGAAAUAUGCAAUGGAUGAUUAGAGAAAUUUUAAAGAGAAAAGAAGAGAAUUAAAAUUUAAAUUUACCUUCAGGGAUCAUCAAUAUUUAUAGGUACUUGCUUAAGUUAGUCACACGCUUGAGCUUGCCCCCUAAUGAUGACAUGUCUUCAUCCAAUUGGUUGUAGCUAUAAGUUCACAUGUAAGGAGUGUCAUUGCUUGGAGGGAAAGUAAGUUUACUUUCCUAACGUCUUUUUAAAAGUCUGAUAAGGACGUGGGCAUGUUUUUAGCAUUGUUCUUAUAGGACCAUUGCCAGGUGUCGUUAUAAAAGACUUCGUCUCAAAUCUUGAGGGAAAUGAUUAUGGAGAUAGCAAGUGGAGUCGUCAUGCUUCCCAAUGGCAAGUGGGGUCGACAUGCUUCCCGAUGCCAUUUAGCUUCUAUCUAAUGUUCGAGAUGUGUCUUUACUAUCUCCUUAUGAACUAAAAGAAUUUUGUGUUGAACAUCCGAAAAGUGUAUCCAGGAUCAAAGACCCGAGAAAUCGUUUCUGGAUGCCAAUAUAUCCUAACAUUGCUCCCACUCCUUUAACUCAUUUUAAUGGGUUAAAGAAUUAGGGCGUGUUGAAAGCUGGAAGCAUGACACUACAUCCUCUAAGUUCACGCCCUACUCCAAGAAAUUGAGUUAAAUAACAAAGCAAAUCUUAAUUAUUUGUCCACUAACAUCGAGAAGCAUGGCGCUACCUCCUCCAAGUUCACGCCCUACUCCUUCAACCAAUUAAAAUGAGUUAAAGAAGUUGGGGGGGGGGGGCAAUGUAAGGAUAUAUACUGGCAUCCAGAGAGUAUUUCUCGGGUCUUUAUCUCGAAUACACUUUUCGGGUCUUCAGCACAAAAUCCAUUUAGUUCAUAAGGAGAUGAUAAAGACACGUCACAAACAUUAGAUAGAAGCUAAAUGAUAUCGGGAAGCAUGACAACGUCACUUGCCAUCUCCAUAAUCAUUUUCCCUCAGGACCUAAGCCUCCUAUAACGACACCUGACAGUGGUCCUGCAAGAGCAAUGCUAAGAGCAUGUUCACGUCUCUAUCAGCCUUCUAGAAAGAUGUUAGGAGAGUAAACUUACUUUCUCUCCAAGUAAUGACACUCCUUACACGUGAUCUUAUAUUUACAACCAAUGAGAUGAAUAUAUGUCAUCAUUUACCUAUAAAUACUGAUGAUCCUUGGAGGUAAAUUCAAGCUCUAAUUCCCUCAUUUUCUCUCUCUGAAACCUCUCUAGUCCUCUAUUGCAUAUUUCCGAUCAUCUUCUUUCUUAUUCCGUUACUUACUCUUACAUCAGAGGUAUCCCAGCGGCUCCAACAAUGAAGGAUAUUUGUCCCUUUCGCAGGUCGGAUCGACCUUCCUUCAACCUGCGUGAUUUAUCACUGUCAACAAGCAUGUUCACAUUCACAUAGUACUCUUUAUUUACUUAUGUGCAAUUUGACUUGUAACUAUAUGGAUUUGGUCUGACAAGAGGUUC
rnacentral:lncRNA from 1 species